GUUUCCGUUGAGUGGUUAUGUGUGCUUUACACGCACAAGGUCCUCGGUUCGAACCCGAGCGGAAACA